rnacentral:tRNA from 1 species
GGUGGGUUGGCACAGUGUUUAGAGCGUAGGUCUCGUAACCGAAAGGUCGCGGGAUCGAAUCCCGCUAGAGGCUG